rnacentral:rRNA from 1 species
CAAUAGCAUAUAUUAACGUUGUUGCAGUUGAAAAGCUCGUAGUUGAACUUUUGGUAGGAGCGACCUGGCCUUGGGCGCAUGCCCUUGUUUGCCGUGUGUCGUAUCUGGCCAUCCUUUUCCGUUUCGGCGGGAAUCUUUUACUGUGAGUAAACUGGAGUGCUCAAAGCAAGACGUUUGUUUGGUACAUUAAAGCAUGGAAUAAUAAGAUAGGACCUGGUUACUAUUUUGUUGGUUUGCAUAGCUAGGUAAUGAUUAACAGGGACAGUUGGGGGUAUUCGUAUUUAAUUGUCAGAGGUGAAAUUCUUGGAUUUAUGAAAGACGAACGACUGCGAAAGCAUUUACCAAGGAUGUUUUCAUUAA